UAACAGAUUGUAGACGUGACUGUAGGUUC
rnacentral:sRNA from 1 species